UUGAAUGUUACCUGGGGUUCUCUCUAUUGAGUUGAGCCCCUUCUUCCUUUAGUGGGUUUUGGACAUCUUCUGGCAAGUGUCCAGAUGCCAGAACCUUCUUUUCCUCUAGAAGGGAUGGUGCUUGGUAACCUUACCUUUUAAAAGCUGGGUCUGUGACCUGGUCUUCCCAUCACUGCAUUCCUGUCUGGAACCAGUGAAUGCAUUAGAACCUUCCAUAGGAAAAGAAAAGGGGCUGAGUUCCAUUCUGGGUUUGCUGUAGUUUGGUUGGGAUUAUUGUUGGCAUUACAGAUGUAAAAGAUUGACUUCAACAAUAAGUCAGUUCUGGUGGCUGUCGCCUGGGCACUAGUGAGAAAGCUACUCUUCUCCCUCUUCCCUCUUUCUCCCCAUGGCCCCACUGCAGACUUAAGGAAGAAGGGAAGGCAGAGGAGUCUAUAAGAAGGAAUCAUGAUUUCUAUUUAGCAGAUUGGAUGGGCAGGUGGAGAAUGCCUGGGGGUAGAAAUGUUAGAUCUUGCAACAUCAGAUCCUUGGAAUAAAGAAGCCUCUCUGUGCUGCCUGCUGUGUCCUGGGUUCUUGCCUUGGGGGACUCGGGGAGCGAGGAAGAGAGCUCUUCCUCCUGGAUAACAUCUUGGAUUCUGUACCAUUCCACUGUCCCUUCCCACCAGACAUUUUAAAUGGUCCUCGUUGUCCCCUUCCCUGCCCUUGCCUUCCUGCUCAUUGUGUAGGAACCAGUGACUUCAUGAAGUUUCUCCGGAGCCACCUGCAUCCUGCUGCUCUGAAGUCACUUCCUGCCUGAGGUGUGGAGGCGGCAGGGAGAAACCAGGAAGCCACUAAUAAUAUCAAGAGGCCAGGGCAUGCAUCUGUGCUGGAGAUCUUAAUGCUCGGGACAUGCCUCCAUCACCAAGGAAAAUGGAUAAGACUUGGGUCCCCUAAAGACCACAGGGGCUGGAGGUGGCACUGAGAAGACUGAGUUAGAACUAACGUGCCAGCCCACCCUCCCCCAGCAAGGGUACCUUGAAUCUAUCCAGGGUCCAGUGCAUGCAUCUCUCCCAC
rnacentral:lncRNA from 1 species